rnacentral:rRNA from 1 species
GACGAACGCUGGCGGCGUGCUUAACACAUGCAAGUCGAACGCUGAAGCUUGGUGCUUGCACUGGGUGGAUGAGUGGCGAACGGGUGAGUAAUACGUGAGUAACCUGCCCUUGACUCUGGGAUAAGCCUGGGAAACUGGGUCUAAUACUGGAUAUGACAUGCCACUGCAUGGUGGUGUGUGGAAAGGGUUUUACUGGUUUUGGAUGGGCUCACGGCCUAUCAGCUUGUUGGUGGGGUAAUGACCUACCAAGGCGACGACGGGUAGCCGGCCUGAGAGGGUGACCGGCCACACUGGGACUGAGACACGGCCCAGACUCCUACGGGAGGCAGCAGUGGGGAAUAUUGCACAAUGGGCGGAAGCCUGAUGCAGCGACGCCGCGUGAGGGAUGACGGCCUUCGGGUUGUAAACCUCUUUCAGCACGGAAGAAGCGAGAGUGACGGUACGUGCAGAAGAAGCGCCGGCUAACUACGUG